rnacentral:pre_miRNA from 1 species
AGCCUUGUGUAUCCGUGUUGAGAUUUCAUCAUACACCAGACCACAAGGGUUGAGAAGACUUCCAAGACAAUUGAAGUG